CCCCUCUUAAAAUGGCACCUGGAGAGUUUCUAGUACUUUACCAGUCUCAGCUAUGGGAGGGAAAGUCAAGCAGAGGCCUACCCCUUCCAUUCCUAGCUUCGGCAGUGGCUCGUGAGUGGAAGGCAAUCUGCUACAAGU